UGCACUGAUAGGUGUUGACUUAAUCGUGUGGUAAUUCCCCCAUCCAAUCACAGUCGUCCUCUCCUCCUCCUACAAACUUGUAUUUUCCCGCGCUUAAGCGGACGCCAUGAUUAUCGUUUUUGGUACCGCCAAGUACACUUCUCCUCUGGUGUUGCUUUUGCUUUGGUCUCGGCUGGUGAGCUGGCCUAGGUCGGCGAGCUAUGCCGAACCCCCCUGUAAUGUUAAUCUUUUUUGGCAAGUGCCGCCAUUUUUUUGUGAUUCCUUGGCUAUAAUUUUUUCUUUUUUUGCGAUGCCUGAAAUAUUUGUGUGUGACAGACCACCCAUCCCAUUCCAAAGCUAGUUCUGUUGUAAAAUAAUGAACAAUUAAAGAACAAUUUGUGAACGAUGCUUCUGUACCUUGUAUUUUCUUUUGGUAUCCAUCACUUCAAAAUGUCCGAUGGUGGACCUAUCUCCAUGAUGUAAAUAAUAUGUGAUAUUCAAGAUAAGAUUCUAGUCACGGAUGUAAGAUUGCAAUGCAAUAGCAAUUUUGGCGCCUACUUGGGCUCGAUUUCCAGUGAAAGAGAAUCCAAAAAUAUUUAUUGGAAUUCCUGAGUUCUGAGGAGGACUUAAGCAUAUGCAAUAAUAAAAUAUUUCAUUUCAAA